rnacentral:rRNA from 1 species
GCUCAUGAUGAACGCUAGCGACAGGCUUAACACAUGCAAGUCGAGGGGCAGCACAGGUAGCAAUACCGGGUGGCGACCGGCGCACGGGUGAGUAACGCGUAUGCAACUUACCUAUCAGAGGGGGAUAACCCGGCGAAAGUCGGACUAAUACCGCAUGAAGCAGGGGCCCCGCAUGGGGAUAUUUGCUAAAGAUUCAUCGCUGAUAGAUAGGCAUGCGUUCCAUUAGGCAGUUGGCGGGGUAACGGCCCACCAAACCGACGAUGGAUAGGGGUUCUGAGAGGAAGGUCCCCCACAUUGGUACUGAGACACGGACCAAACUCCUACGGGAGGCAGCAGUGAGGAAUAUUGGUCAAUGGCCGAGAGGCUGAACCAGCCAAGUCGCGUGAGGGAUGAAGGUUCUAUGGAUCGUAAACCUCUUUUAUAAGGGAAUAAAGUGCGGGACGUGUCCCGUUUUGUAUGUACCUUAUGAAUAAGGAUCGGCUAACUCCGUGCCAGCAGCCGCGGUAAUACGGAGGAUCCGAGCGCUAUCCGGAUUUAUUGGGUUUAAAGGGUGCGUAGGCGGCCUUUUAAGUCAGCGGUGAAAGUCUGUGGCUCAACCAUAGAAUUGCCGUUGAAACUGGGAGGCUUGAGUAUGUUUGAGGCAGGCGGAAUGCGUGGUGUAGCGGUGAAAUGCAUAGAUAUCACGCAGAACCCCGAUUGCGAAGGCAGCCUGCCAAGCCAUUACUGACGCUGAUGCACGAAAGCGUGGGGAUCAAACAGGAUUAGAUACCCUGGUAGUCCACGCAGUAAACGAUGAUCACUAGCUGUUUGCGAUACACUGUAAGCGGCACAGCGAAAGCGUUAAGUGAUCCACCUGGGGGAGUACGCCGGCAACGGUGAAACUCAAAGGAAUUGACGGGGGCCCGCACAAGCGGAGGAACAUGUGGUUUAAUUCGAUGAUACGCGAGGAACCUUACCCGGGUUUGAACGCAUUCGGACCGAGGUGGAAACACCUUUUCUAGCAAUAGCCGUUUGCGAGGUGCUGCAUGGUUGUCGUCAGCUCGUGCCGUGAGGUGUCGGCUUAAGUGCCAUAACGAGCGCAACCCUUGCCACUAGUUACUAACAGGUAAAGCUGAGGACUCUGGUGGGACUGCCAGCGUAAGCUGCGAGGAAGGCGGGGAUGACGUCAAAUCAGCACGGCCCUUACAUCCGGGGCGACACACGUGUUACAAUGGCGUGGACAAAGGGAAGCCACCUGGCGACAGGGAGCGAAUCCCCAAACCACGUCUCAGUUCGGAUCGGAGUCUGCAACCCGACUCCGUGAAGCUGGAUUCGCUAGUAAUCGCGCAUCAGCCAUGGCGCGGUGAAUACGUUCCCGGGCCUUGUACACACCGCCCGUCAAGCCAUGGGAGCCGGGGGUACCUGAAGUCCGUAACCGCGAGGAUCGGCCUAGGGUAAAACUGGU